rnacentral:tRNA from 1 species
GAGGGUAUAGCUCAAAUUGUAGAGUACAUGCUUGGCAUGCAUAAGGUUUUGGAUUUAAUCCCCAGUACCUCCU